rnacentral:rRNA from 1 species
GACGUAGGUCCCGAGCGUUGCCCGGAAUUAGUGGGCGUAAAGUGCGCGUAGGCGGUGCGGCAAGUCGCCUGUGAAAGUCCAGAGCUCAACCCCGGGGUGCCGGGCGAAACUGGCGUGCUAGAGGACGGCAGAGGAGAGUGGAGCGGCCUGAGUAGCGGUGAAAUGCGUAGAUACCUUCCGAAAACCCGAUGGCGAAGGCAACUCUCUGGGCCGUUCCUGACGCUGAGGCGCGAAAGCGUGGGUAGCGAACCGG